rnacentral:lncRNA from 1 species
GUUUGUUUGUUUGUUUGUUUUUUUGUUUGUUUGUUUUUGCUAUUUCUUGGGCCGCUCCGCGGCAUAUGGAGGUUCCCAGGCUAAGGGUUGAAUCGGAGCUGUAGCCACCGGCCUACGCCAGAGCCACAGCAAUGCUAGAUCCGAGCCGUGUCUGCAACCUACAACACAGCUCAUGGCAAUGCCGGAUCAUUAACCCACUGAGCAAGGGCAGGGAUGGAACCCGCAACCUCAUGGUUCCUAGUCGGAUUUGUUAACCACUGCGCCACGACGGGAACUCCAGCUCCAGUCUUUCAUUACUGUGGCCCUGGUGUGGGGUGGUACCUGUGGCUCCAAUUCAACCCCUAGCCCAGGAACUUCCAUAUGCUGCAGGUGUGGCCCUAAAAAGAUAGACACAAAAAAUGUAAUAGACGUGUUAAGCUUCUGGUUCUCUCCUUUUUUUUUUUUUUUUUUUUGCUAUUUAGGGCCGCAAAUGCGGCCUCCAGAGUCUCCCGGAAUAGGGGUAGAAUCAGAGCUGUAGCCACUGGCCUAAGCCACAGUCACAGCAAUGCAGGAUCCAAGCUGUGUCUGUGACUUACACCACAGCUCACUGCAACGCUGGGUCCUUAGCCCACUGAGCAAGGCCAGGGAUUGAACCUGCAUCUUCAUGGAUGCUAGUCACAUUCGUUAACCGCUGAGCCAUGAUGGAAACUCCAGGAGUCUGUUUCUUAAUCUGUAGCUUAAUCGUUUAGAAAUUUAAAAAGUAGUAUCUCUUUAUAGUUGGACCUUUUUUCCAAUUUAAAAUAGUAUAACUUCGACAAGUAGAGCAAUAAUCCAAAUAGAUAACCAGUGUUUAUGGAUUGUCAAGUUGCUAUACUGCUGUGACAGGUUUUCCUAAUAAGUUCUUAGUUUUCUUAAAAAUAUUCCUUGGGUUUUCUUUGUUUCUCAUGUAAUAGAUGUUAAGCAUAUGUACUUACACAAUCCAGGCUGUACAGAUUCUGUCUGCAGCUAUCAUUGGUCAUUUUUUCCGAUGUGCUGAAAGUCUUGGCACUCAUGUUUCCACCCCGUAUUACUUGUGUCUGGAUCUUCGAAAGAUGUUUUCCCAUUUAGAAUUCUGGUGCUGUAGGCUUGGGGCAGGGGUCAGGAUCUAAGGCUUCUUUCCCCUUAAUGACACAUUUGUAGCCACAACAGGCCACAAUAACUGUUGAACUCCCUCAAAAUUUGCUUUCAGCAGAAUUCUAGUUAAUAACCUUUAAAAACAUUUUUUCACUCAACCUCGUUUGUCAUUGAUGAGAUGUCAAUUGCAUCUUGGCUAAUAUAAUUGGCAACGAUUAGAUUGAUGGAAUACUUUGUUGUGAGGAUAUAGACAAUACGUAAGAAUAUUGUUGGUAUUUUUAAAAGGUUUUUAUUCAUUUAUAAAGAAAAGGUUUCAGUUCCUGGUGUGGUGCAGCCAAAAUGAACCCAGUAAGUGUCCGUGAGGAUGUGGGUUCGAUCCCUGGGCCUUGCUCAAUGGGUUAGAGAUCUGGUGUUGCCGUGAGCUGUGGUGUAGGUCGCAGACGCAGCUUGGAUCUGGCAUUGUGGCUGUGGUGUAGGCGAGCAGCUGCAGUUCGCAAUGGACCCCUAGCUUGGGAACUUCCGAAAGCCUCACCUAUACCCCUUAAAAAAAAAAAAAAAUCAAGGGGGUACAUGUUUAAAUUUUCACAAAGGGAAUAGAACAUUUAACCACCACUCACAUCAAGAAAUACAACUGACAUCCUAGAAAAUUCUUGCAUGCCCCCUUGGUUAAUUUACUCUCUCCCAGAACUGGAAGCAGUGUCUUGAUCCAUUGCCAUUGAUUAGUUUUUCCGGGUCUUGAACUCGAUGUAAAGCAUAUAUAGUCCAUAUCAUUGCCUUUAAUAAUAGUGUAUUUUCAGGGCUAUGUACUCUUCGGCUGCAUUAGUAUACAACUAAUGUGGAUGGACAUUGGAUUAUUUUGUUUUUGGAUGUUAAAAAUGUGAACAUUCUUAUACGUGGCUUUUGGUAUGUACAUGUGUGAAUUAAUGUUGAAUUAAUAUCUAAGGAUGGAAUAAUUGGGUCAUAGGGAAUAUAUAUGUUCAACUUAAUAGGUACUACAAAAGAGUUUUCCUACUGGGGAGUUUCCAUCAUGCCUCAGUGGUUAACGGAUCCAGUUAGGAACCAUGAGGUUGCGGGUUCGAUCCCUGGCCUUGCUCAGUGGGUUACAGAUCUGGCGUUGCCUUGAGCUGUGGUAUAGGUCGCAGACGCUGCUCAGAUCCUGCAUUGCUGUGGCUUUGGCGUAGGCCGGUGGCUACAGCUCCAAUUAGACCCCUAGCCUGGGAACCUCCAUAUGAAACGGGUGUGGCCCUAGAAAAGGCAAAAAAACAAGUUUUCCUACUAGUUAUGCAGUUUUACGGUCCUGUCAGCAGGUAUGAGAAUCCUAGUUGCUCCGCAUCCUCCCUGGCAUUCGGUAUGGUCACUGUUUUCUGGUGGUGGUGUUUGUUGCAUCUUAAAAAUUUUUUUAUUUUGGCUGCACGCAUGGCAUGUGGAAGUUCCCAGGCCAGGGGUGAACCCACACCACAGCAGCCUGAGCCACAGCGUUGAUAAUAUUGGAUCAUCACUGGGUAACUUGAGUGUGGUCACUGUUUUUAGUUGCCACCUUCUGGUUGGUGUGUAGUGGUAUUUAAUUCUGGAUUUAAUUUGCGUUUUCCUAUUGGCUAAUGAGAAGGAGUGCUUUUGUUUAUUAGACGUUUGGAUAUCUUUUCACCUGUUUUUCUGAGUUGAUUUACUGAUUUGUGGGAAUUCUUUAUAUAUUUAAAAUAGAAUGUCUCUCUAGUUGCUAUUGCCUUUUUUUUUUUUUUUUUUCUUUUUGGGGACGCACCCGCAGCGUAUAUGAAAGUUCCCAGGCCAGGGGUCAAACCAGAGCUUAAAGCUGCAGACCUAUGCCAUAGCUAUAGCAACACGGGAUCUGAGCCUCGUCUGCACCCUAUGCCACAGCUCAUGGCAAUUGCAGAUCCCUGACCCACUGAGUGAGGACAGGAAUCAAACCUAUAUCCUCAUGGAUACUAGAUGGAUUUGUUUCCACUGUGCCAAAACAGGAACACCUAUUAUGCUUUUUUAUUGUCUUGAUGUCUUUUGAUCAGAAGUCCUUUAUGUUAAUAUGUUCCAUCAGUUAAGUGCUUUAUAUGUCUUUUCUUUUGUCUUUCCCUCCUUGUAGGGCCGCACCUGUGGCAUAUGGAGGUUCCCAAGCUAGGGGUCCAAUCUGAGCUAUAGCUGCUGGCCUACACCACAGCCACAGCAAUGCCAGAUUCGAGCCAUGUCUGCACCACAGUUCAUGGCAAUGCCAGAUCCUUGACCCACUGAGCGAGGCCAGGGAUCGAACCUGCGUCCUCAUGGAUGCCAGUCAGGUUUGUUAACCGUUGAGCUAUGACAGGAACUCCUGUGUGUACUUUUAAAAGAACUAUUUGCCAGAGAGUUCCUAUUGUGGCUCAGUUGGUUACAGUAGUUCUGGCCUUGCUCAGUGGGUUAAGGAUCCGGUGAUGUAUGAGCUAUGGUAAAGGUUACAGAUGAAGCUUGGAUCUGGUAUUGCUAUGUCUGUAGUGUAGACUGGCAGCUGCAGCUCCAAUUGGGUCCCUAGUCUGGGACCUUCCAUGCCACAGAUGUGGCAAUAAAAGGCAAAAAAAAAAAAAAAAAAAAA